rnacentral:rRNA from 1 species
GUCCACGCCGUAAACGUUGGGCACUAGGUGUGGGACUCUAUCGACGGGUUCCGUGCCGUAGCUAACGCAUUAAGUGCCCCGCCUGGGGAGUACGGCCGCAAGGCUAAAACUCAAAGGAAUUGACGGGGGCCCGCACAAGCGGCGGAGCGUGUGGCUCAAUUCGAUGCAACGCGAAGAACCUUACCUGGGCUUGACAUGUACGGUAAAGCGGAUGAAAGUCCGUGUGCUUCGGCGCCGUACACAGGUGGUGCAUGGCUGUCGU